UGAUUGAGUCGUUCUCCUGAGCAUCGGAAU
rnacentral:piRNA from 1 species